CCCUUACUUAGAGUGUGAAUUUCCUGCAGACGUCAGUGUUUGCAUAGGAUUUUAAAGAUCUAUGUCUAGCCAGUAGCUUAAACAGGGGAUUCUGCGUGGACACAGUAUUUCCUUUGUACGAUUUGUGGGAGAUUAAUAGGUUAUGUCUGUCUGCGUAUGCAUAUACCUGUUUGUACCAGUGUUCCUGUUUGUGCCUGUCUGUCUGCAUGUGCACCUGUCCAUGAGUUCUUAUGUGCAUACCUCC